UACGGGGGGAGCAAGCGUUGUUCGGAUUUACUGGGCGUAAAGGGCGCGUAGGCGGUCAGCACAAGUCAGUUGUGAAAUCUCCGGGCUUAACUCGGAAAGGUCAACUGAUACUGUGCGACUAGAGUGCAGAAGGGGCAACUGGAAUUCUCGGUGUAGCGGUGAAAUGCGUAGAUAUCGAGAGGAACACCUGCGGUGAAGGCGGGUUGCUGGGCUGACACUGACGCUGAUGCGCGAAAGCCAGGGGAGCGAACGGG
rnacentral:rRNA from 1 species